ACGCAUGUACUUUUCAAUGGAUAAACCUCUUUACAGGGCUCUAUGAAAUGUCCCGUGCCUCCAUCCAGCCCCACAACCCUGGAGGCCAAGGUUGAUGACCUGCGAUUUAAAGUGGAGCAGCUCCUCUUGAGCCCAGGGAGAAGUUGCCCCAUAUGUGGGACCUGUGUUCAGCACAGCACACUGCAGGAGACUGUGACCAGCCAGUUCCACUUCGGGAUUCCCCUGAAGUCCUGGAGAUGAGAACAGCUCUGGAGGAACUUGCAUGUGGACAUAGCACUAAAUGAGAUCCAGGUCAUGAACCAGCUCAGUCACCCCAAUAUCCUCCAACUUUUUGAAGCCUUUGAGGUCAAGAAUCAAGUUGUGCCGAUACUGGAGUAUUGGUGUGGAGGGAGGUGAGUUGUUUGAGAGAAUCGUGGGUGAGAGCUGUCCGCUGACUGAGGUGGAUGCCAUUGUGUUUGUGAAACAGAUCUGUGAGGGUGUCCAGUACAUGCAACAGAUGUACGUGCUUCACCUGGACAUCAAGGUAACAGAUGACGCAAAAAGGGCUCACUUUGUUCUGUCAGAUUUAGGCUAGUGAUUUUAUUAUUUUCUCAAGGGAUUCCCCUAGAUUAUAGCGUAAGUCUUUAUGGAAACUGGAAUGUCAGACGGAAAUGUGUAACAGUUUAUCACUUUUUUUUCCAAGCCAGAGAACAUUCUUCUUAUUAAUCGUUCUAGCCAUCAGGUGAAAAUUAUUGACUUUGGACUAGCGAGAUUUAUAGAUAGCGGGAUUUAUACUUACACACUGCUAUUGUAUUGUACUUGUCCAUGCAUGUUUAUGUGUUCAAAUGAAGAUAAGUGUUGCCAUCAGCCAUUUUUGCUGGCAGGACAUUUGCCUUACAUACUUUUCCAGUGACCACUGUGUAUUUCUGAAUGUGUC
ensembl:lncRNA